rnacentral:rRNA from 1 species
GACGAACGCUGGCGGCGUGCUUAACACAUGCAAGUCGAACGAAGUGGCGCACGGGUGAGUAACGCGUAAUCAACCUGCCCUUCAUAGGGUGACAACAGUUGGAAACGACUGCUACUACCUCAUACUGAAGGAGGUGCUUGCGUCUGAUUAGCUAGUGGGAGGGGUAACGGCCCACCAAGGCGAUGAUCAGUAGCCGGUCUGAGAGGAUGAACGGCCACAGUGGGAAUGAGACACGGCCCAGACUCCUACGGGAGGCAGCAGUGGGGAAUAUUCCGCAAUGGACGAAAGUCUGACGGAGCAACGCCGCGUGAGUGAUGACGGCCUUCGGGUUGUAAAGCUCUGUUAAUCGGGACGCGGUACCGGAAUAGAAAGCCACGGCUAACUACGUGCCAGCAGCCGCGGUAAUUC